rnacentral:rRNA from 1 species
UAGAGUUUGAUCCUGGCUCAGGACGAACGCUGGCGGCGUGCUUAACACAUACAAGUCGAACGAUGAAGCUCAGCUUGCUGGGUGGAUUAGUGGCGAACGGGUGAGUAACACGUGGGUGAUCUGCCCUGCACUUCGGGAUAAGCCUGGGAAACUGGGUCUAAUACCGGAUAUGACCAAAGGCUGCAUGGUUUUUGGUGGAAAGUUUUUCGGUGCAGGAUGAGCCCGCGGCCUAUCAGCUUGUUGGUGGGGUAAUGGCCUACCAAGGCGACGACGGGUAGCCGGCCUGAGAGGGCGACCGGCCACACUGGGACUGAGACACGGCCCAGACUCCUACGGGAGGCAGCAGUGGGGAAUAUUGCACAAUGGGCGAAAGCCUGAUGCAGCGACGCCGCGUGAGGGAUGACGGCCUUCGGGUUGUAAACCUCUUUCACCCAUGACGAAGCGCAAGUGACGGUAGUGGGAGAAGAAGCACCGGCCAACUACGUGCCAGCAGCCGCGGUAAUACGUAGGGUGCGAGCGUUGUCCGGAAUUACUGGGCGUAAAGAGCUCGUAGGCGGUUUGUCGCGUCGUCUGUGAAAUCCCGCAGCUCAACUGCGGGCUUGCAGGCGAUACGGGCAAACUUGAGUACUGCAGGGGAGACUGGAAUUCCUGGUGUAGCGGUGAAAUGCGCAGAUAUCAGGAGGAACACCGGUGGCGAAGGCGGGUCUCUGGGCAGUAACUGACGCUGAGGAGCGAAAGCGUGGGUAGCGAACAGGAUUAGAUACCCUGGUAGUCCACGCCGUAACGGUGGGCGCUAGGUGUGGGUUUCCUUCCACGGGAUCCGUGCCGUAGCUAACGCAUUAAGCGCCCCGCCUGGGGAGUACGG